rnacentral:lncRNA from 1 species
GACAACAGCAAUUGAAUACAAUAACUGUUAAAAAGAAAGGCAACUGUACCUGCUGUAAGAAAACAGCUUCUUGCGGGCACGUGGGAAAUUUCAUGAGACCAACACCUACCAUUAAGAGACCGUAGCACCCAAGGGACACAAUGAAGUAUAGAGGCAACUACAACAUCAUAAAAAACAGGUUAAGCAAAUGCUGAAGAGGAAAUCAUUGUCAAUAAGAGCUCACCAGCCAAGUAUAGUUCUCUGGAAUCACUGAUGUCUGCAGCAAGCCUAUCCAAAGGGCGGAUACCCCAAAAACUAUCGUCAAAAUCUUCACGAUUUGUUUCAUUUGGAUCUGCAGAGAAGUAAUAAUUAUUGACGUAAUAAGAUAAAGGUUGAUAUGGAUAGACAUCUGAUAUAUCAUGAGGAAUACAACGGCAAAUGGUUUUGUAGUCGAUUGCUCCAUCCAAACAAAGUUUCAAGUGCUGCUUUGAUAUCAUAUCAUCAAGUGGAAAAAAGCAUCCAAUAUUUUACCGAGAAAAAAACGAAAACAUUGCUCUUUCCAUUCCCACUUUACUACAGAACCCCUUAAUAACUAACUUGCAACAUGACACAUUGACACCUAAUAAUUCCACUUACAAGUAGCUGCACAUCUAGUGAGAACUAAACAUUUCUUAGAUUCAUUACUAUAAAAAUAAGAGCACCGUACAAGUUAAAAACCACAAAACUCAUUCCACAUGCUCCAAAAAGAUAUCCUCUAGUUCCUGCUUUUGUUCCACUAGUUUCCACUUAAUUCCAAGCUCCUCAAAAAGUCAUUAACAUCAGCAUGAAACCAAGAGUACAGUACUACAUAUAGGAUAAGCAUUAACCUCUUUCUUAACUAAGAAAAAAUAAGAUUCUUAAAUAAAAACACAGCUGUGUGCUACCUGAUCUUAUCUCAUUUUCAAAAAAUGCCAACCAUAGGUGAUGUUUGGCUACAAAUCCAUGUUUUCGCAUGCUAAGUGCCUUACAGUUUUGCUCAACUAUUGUUAGUUCUAACAUGUAAUGAAAUUAUUUGAGCUUAAUUUUGACGUUUAUGUAGGUAAGAGUCGAUUGGAAGUGAUUUGGGAGGAAUCUGCGCAAAUUGAAACCGAGAAGGAAGGAAUUCAGAAGAAGUGUAGAAUUUGGCAUCCAGAAAAGCGCAAGGAGCUGACCUUCUGGACGCCAAACUCAUCACAAGCAAAAGUUGGGCAUCCUGGUUAGCGCAAGGCGCCAACCAAAACGCCAAAGGCAGGGCUUAAAAUAAUUCAACGUCCAGGUGGGCGUCUCACGCCCAUCGUGUCGCCUACUUCCAGGAAACCUCCUAUUUCGACUUAGAGAGGGGCUUUUCGGUCCUACGCGUUCCCAACAAGUGUAAAAGGGGUUCUAAACCUACUUUUUGGGGGUUGGACAAUGUUUGGAGGCUAGAAUAUCGUGUGGAGCAAUUUUAGAAGAGAAAAUCAUUGAGUUCUUCAUUCAUUAAUCUCUUCUUAGUAACUUAUUUAUGCAAAUACUUGUGUAAUUGUUAUUACGAUUAUGAGUGGCCAAGUUGUCUAUUAUCUAGGGUUGUGGUUAUUAUGAAUAUAGAAGUUUGUUAAUUA